UGGGGAAUUUUGCACAAUGGGCGCAAGCCUGAUGCAGCGACGCCGCGUGAGGGAUGAAGGCCUUCGGGUUGUAAACCUUUUUCGCUCAUGGUCAAGCCGCAGCUUUGGGUUGUGGUGAGGGUAGUGGGUAAAGAAGCGCCGGCUAACUACGUGCCAGCAGCCGCGGUAAUACGUAGGUGGCAAGCGUUGUCCGGAAUUAUUGGGCGUAAAGCGCGCGCAGGUGGUUUAGAAAGUCUGAUGUGAAAGCCCACGGCUCAACCGUGGAGGGUCAUUGGAAACUAAUAAACUUGAGUGCAGGAGAGAAAAGUGGAAUUCCUAGUGUAGCGGUGAAAUGCGUAGAGAUUAGGAGGAACACCGGUGGCGAAAGCGGCUUUUUGGCCUGCAACUGACACUGAGGCGCGAAAGCGUGGGGAGCAAACAGG
rnacentral:rRNA from 1 species